rnacentral:rRNA from 1 species
GGAGUUAGCCGGUGCUUCUUCUGUGAGUGAUGUCCUUCCUGCCGGUUAUUGACCCGCAGGCCUUCUUCCUCACUGAAAGUGCUUUACAACCCGAAGGCCUUCUUCACACACGCGGCAUGGCUGGAUCAGGGUUGCCCCCAUUGUCCAAUAUUCCCCACUGCUGCCUCCCGUAGGAGUCUGGGCCGUGUCUCAGUCCCAGUGUGGCUGAUCAUCCUCUCAGACCAGCUACGGAUCGUCGCCUUGGUGAGCCGUUACCUCACCAACCAGCUAAUCCGACAUAGGCUCAUCCGAUAGCGCGAGGCCCGAAGGUCCCCCGCUUUCCCCCGUAGGGCGUAUGCGGUAUUAGCCUGGGUUUCCCCAGGUUAUCCCCCGACUACCGGGCAGAUUCCUAUGCAUUACUCACCCGUCCGCCGCUCGCCACCAGGGAGCAAGCUCCCCGUGCUGCCGCUCGACUUGCAUGUGUUAGGCGUCGCCGCCACGCGUUCAUCUGAGCCGACGAGUACAACUACUCGA